ACGAACGCUGGCGGCGUGCCUAAUACAUGCAAGUUGAGCGCUGAAGGUUGGUACUUGUACCCACUGGAUGAGCAGCGAACGGGUGAGUAACGCGUGGGGAAUCUGCCUUUGAGCGGGGGACAACAUUUGGAAACGAAUGCUAAUACCGCAUAAAAACUUUAAACACAAGUUUUAAGUUUGAAAGAUGCAAUUGCAUCACUCAAAGAUGAUCCCGCGUUGUAUUAGCUAGUUGGUGAGGUAAAGGCUCACCAAGGCGAUGAUACAUAGCCGACCUGAGAGGGUGAUCGGCCACAUUGGGACUGAGACACGGCCCAAACUCCUACGGGAGGCAGCAGUAGGGAAUCUUCGGCAAUGGACGAAAGUCUGACCGAGCAACGCCGCGUGAGUGAAGAAGGGUUUCGGAUCGUAAAACUCUGUUGGUAGAGAAGAACGUUGGUGAGAGUGGAAAGCUCAUCAAGUGACGGUAACUACCCAGAAAGGGACGGCUAACUACGUG
rnacentral:rRNA from 1 species